AAAGCUGUGGAGAACAAAGAAGCAAGAAAGAAAAGAGUCAUUGGAAUGAUGCUAAUCCAGUGAAAUACAUCAAUCAGAGUUCAGUGUCUGAAUUGGGAGAGGUUACGUUCUUCCGAAAUGUGGCAUCGUGUUUGGUUCAGGCUGGGAGAUGGAAGCCAGGAGGAGGAUGGGGACCGCGGAGGUGGUGUUUGAAAAACUAGUCCGGCAAACUGGUGUAACUUUGCUUGGAGAAAAACUGAACACGAGGAGAAAAUAUCCGUGUUUGACUGUGUAACGAGCCGUCGUGCCUCAGAAAGUAGAGAUGUAAUCUCACGUCAAAGUAUCUGGAAAAUUACACACUAAGGGAUUAAUGACAGAUAUCUCCAGUAAAACAGCAUUGAUAACAACUCCACUGGGUCAUUCUGCGAUUCAUCAUAUAAAACAGAAAGUUGCUGUGGACAAGAAGGCUGCUGGAACUGGCAAUGUCACCAAGUCUAUUCAGAAAGUGAAGAAGGCGAAGAUCUGAGGAGGCGUUGAGAAGCUACCGCAAUCCCCAUUGCAAGCUGGGGCUCGUACACAUGGAACACCACAGCUGAAGGGAACAUGAGUUUUAUUCCUGUGGCAUGCAGCUGCUCACUUCUCAGGACCGAAUGCUCUCUGUCAGCUCUUACUGUAGGGAACUUGCUGUCUAUCUGGAGAUACAGACAACUGAAUGAAAACGCACUCUGACAGUGUUUUACUGUGUAACUGGAACACACUAGAGGAAAAUAUAGCACAUAUUCUAUGGUACAUAUGGUAUGUGCUUGCAGAGAGGAUUGGAGGAGACAUGAGGACCAGCUGUCUGCAGAAAUGGAUAGCUAAGGAGAAAUCAGGAGAGCAUGCCAGAUUUAUCCAAGUAAGAGGGAGAAGAAGAGUGUUCCAAGUAGAGACAGCAGCAAGUCAAGGAAAGAGCCUCAAGUGAGCAAGUGACGCACAUUUGGGCUGUGCAGUUGGCACAGCUGAAGCAGACACUGCAAGCUGGGAAGAAAGGAGUUGACUGUUCCAGAGGUAGGCAGGGACCAUCUAGCAGGGAUCAGAAAACUACGGCCCCCGGGCCGAAUCCAGCCAUAUCCAGUCACAUCUAUUCAUGGAUGUAUACCUGUUUUUACACUACAACGGUAGAAUUGCAUACUAACAACAUAGAUCCUGGUCCACAAAGCCAAACAUAUUCACUAUCUGGCCCUUACAGAAACAGUCUGUCAUUGCGAAGAAACUCGGAUUUUAUGAGGGGAUUGGGAUUUCAGCAGGGGAGAGGCACGACAAAUUUGCAUUUCAGACCUGCCUUUGUGGUGGUUGCCAUGGAGAGUGUGGACUGAGACAGGGACGGACUAGGGUUGGAAGACCAACAGUGUCUUACUUCUCUGAGGUCUACAGACCCCGUGCCAAGAGGACUAUGUCCCAGUUUUAUGUCACUUGCUGCACCAAAACAUCAUACACGGCUCAUCAAUGUUACCAAGUGAAUGAAUAUAUGAAUGAAUGGGCAAGAAAAGAUGAGAGAAACCCGUAUUUUGGCACUGAAAACAGUAGUAAACAUUAUGAUGAUAAUUGUAACAAUAAAACAAUUAUAUUUGGUU